AGGGGCAGCACAAGGAGCAAUCUGAGGUGGCGACCGGCGCACGGGUGAGUAACACGUAUGCAACCUGGCCUGUAAGACGGGGAAUAACCCGUUGAAAGACGGACUAAUACCGCAGUAAUACUAAAUUACUGCAAUGGUAAUUUAUUUAAACAUUUAUGGCUUACAGAUGGGCAUGCGCAUGAUUAGCUAGUUCGGAGAGGUAACGGCUCCCCAAGGCAACGAUCAUUAGGGGUUCUGAGAGGAAGGUCCCCCACACUGGUACUGAGACACGGACCAGACUCCUACGGGAGGCAGCAGUGAGGAAUAUUGGUCAAUGGACGAGAGUCUGAACCAGCCAAGUCGCGUGGCAGGAAGAAUGUCCCUAUGGAUUGUAAACUGCUUUUGCAGGGGAAUAAAGUGCAUCACGUGUGAUGUUUUGUAUGUACUCUGCGAAUAAGGAUCGGCUAACUCCGUGCCAGCCGCCGC
rnacentral:rRNA from 1 species